rnacentral:ncRNA from 2 species
GUCGUACGUAUUUUUACGUUCACUGUGAACAAAUCAGGACGCUUAGAGUAUGGCCACAUGAAUGACUCAGCGCAGUAUGAAGUCUUUGUUUUCUUCCGAAAACAAGCUCAAUGAGAGCCAUCGGGGGUAGAUCUAUCUCAUGACGAGUGGUGGAAUACUUUGACUCAUGAGAGAGAAGCUGAGGCGAAGGCGUCUACCUAGAGGGUUUCUGUCGAUCAAGGGCGAGAGUAGGAGUAUCCAACAGGAUUAGAGACCCUGGUAGUUCCUACCUUAAACGAUGCCGACAGGAGUUUGUCAUUUGUUAAUGGCAGAAUCUUUGGAGAAAUCAUAGUUCUUGGGCUCUGGGGGAACUACGACCGCAAGGCUGAAACUUGAAGGAAUUGACGGAAGGGCACACCAGGGGUGGAGCCUGUGGCUUAAUUUGAAUCAACACGGGGAAACUUACCAGGACCAGAUGUUUUUUAUGACUGACAGGCUUCGGGUCUUUCAGGAUAUUGUUUUUGGUGGUGCAUGGCCGUUGGUGGUGCGUGGGUUGACCUGUCUAGCGUUGAUUCAGCUAACGAGCGAGAUUAUCGCCAAUUAUUUACUUUGCCGAAGUCCUUCGGUUAAAGUUCUAAUUGGGACUCCCUGCGAUUUUAGCAGGUGGAAGAGGGUAGCAAUAACAGGUCCGUGAUGCCCUUUAGAUGCUCUGGGCUGCACGCGUGCUACAAUGUUAGGAUCAAUAGGACUGCGAGCCUGAGAGGGUGCGCUACUCUUAUAAUCCCUAACGUAGUUGGGAUUGACGUUUGUAAUCAGCGUCAUGAACCAGGAAUCCCUUGUAAAUGUGUGUCAACAACGCACGUUGAAUACGUCCCUGCCCUUUGUACACACCGCCCGUCGCUCCUACCGAUUGGAUGACUCGGUGAAAUCACCCGGAUGCUUACGAGCAGAAAGUGA